rnacentral:lncRNA from 1 species
GUGUUUAUGUGAUAGAGUCAUAAAAUAAUAUCCAGUAUUAAAGCUGCAAAAUAGAUUCACAGAAUUGUUAGGGUUGGAAGAAACCCUAAGAAACAUCUUUUCUACAAAUUCUUGUUUUUCUUUUCUAAUUUUCCUUGGUUGUAACAUUUCAAAUGAAAUUCAUUUUUUAAGGAGAGAUGACAGCACGGGACAGGGAGAUCAUUUUAAAACAGUCUGAAAAGUAAAGUACUAUGAGCAUGUAGGUGAAGUGUGAAUGAAGAAAUGUAUUAAAUGUGAAAAGCAAAAAUACGUGCUGGAGUUAUAAAUAUAGGUAGAAAAUUGCUGUGAUCAGCUCUGAAAAAUUGUUCUAUUCAAAACAGUGAGAAAUUCGCAGAUUUCCCAGGAGCAGGCAGGAAGAUGAUGGGAUCAUCUCUGAUACAGCUCACAGCUGGAGAUCAGCUCCUCUGAAGAUGCCUUGUGUGAGAAGCACCUUGUAUAGGUACUUGCAAAUGAUUUUAAACUAAAUGUCAGGCUUUUUCAGGAGCAGAUACAACAAUAGAAUCCUUAGCAAACUGCAUCCUGCAGAAGGAGAGAGUGGCACUGAAUCUGAGAAAACAGAGACAGGAAGCUCAGCACCUUCUCACAUUUUCUGAAGGAUUCCAUGAGGAUACACAAAACCUUGCGUCGGUUUUGUUGCUUUUCUGCAUAUUUUAAUUCCCACCAGUUUUGCUCCUUCCCUGUGGAUUCACAGCUGGUAUAAAUUAGUAGUGCACUAUUGCUAUCAAAGGUUAUCCCAAGUAGCUUCUGCUUGUGAUCUGUCCCUUGAUGUUCCCUUUAUUUAGAUGUUUUCAGUUCUGCUGGCCAAGGUUUGAUGAAAUUUGAGUACUUUGCAGUUAUUGUAUAUCUUUUAUCAUCAUAUAAUCUGACAAGCUGAAUGUUUGACACACAUACUUAAAAAAGUGAACACAGGAAAAUUAUAGAGGGAAAGGAAAACAUGUUCUGUUAAAUCAUUAAAAUACAUUGAUAUUCUCAAGUGUUAUAAAAUCUCAUUUUUACAGUUAAAACUGGGAUUUUUAAAGACCUUGUUGAUGUUGAAUAGUUUUGGUAUGGAAUGGUUUCAGCCCUCCUAGCUAUAGACCAGGAUUCUGUCAUUUAACUUAUGUUCAACAUUUAAAUAUUAUAGCAGCAUAAGUGAAGAUU